rnacentral:rRNA from 1 species
AUUGAACGCUGGCGGCAGGCCUAACACAUGCAAGUCGAACGAGUGGCGGACGGGUGAGUAAUGUCUGGGAAACUGCCUGAUGGAGGGGGAUAACUACUGGAAACGUUAGCUAAUACCGCAUACCAUCGGUUCUGCCCAGAUGGGAUUAGCUAGUGGGGGGGGUAACGGCUCACCUAGGCGACGAUCCCUAGCUGGUCCGAGAGGAUGACCGGCCACACUGGAACUGAGACACGGUCCAGACUCCUACGGGAGGCAGCAGUGGGGAAUAUUGCACAAUGGGCGAAAUCCUGAUGCAGCAAGGCCGCGUGUAUGAAGAAGGCCUUCGGGUUGUAAAGUACUUUAAGCGGGGAGGCGUUACCCGCAGAAGAAGCACCGGCUAACUCCGUGCCAGCAGCCGCGGUAAUUC